AUGAUUUCCACCUUCUUGGUUUCGAAGCCAAGAGAGACGGGCACCCUGUCAGGGCAGGAGCUGCAGAGUCCUUCAGCUCUGGAUGAGGGGGAGAGGGAAGAAGGAAGACAGCAGAAGCAGGGGCGAAGUGGGGACAGAGGAGAGGCUAAGCUUUCUGUGGAGGGAUUUGACCUGCAAUCAGCUAUGUGGAGCAUCGCUUUCCUGUGUGGCAGCAUCCUUCUCCUGCCUAGCACAGCUGGAACGCCUGCAACGCUAAAUUAUGCCGUGGCAAUACCAUCUCAGCUGUACUACCCCUUCUCAGAGACAGUGUGCCUCCAGCUCAGCAGAAAGCAAGCAGUCCCGAUUGAUGUGACAGUAACCUUGCAAAGCAGAGCUGGGAAUGCGACUCUGAUCACUCAGUCCAUCUCUCAGCUCACCUUCUUUCAUUGCACAAGCUUCCAGGUCCCUCAUCCUGUUGGAAACCCUGAUGAAGUGGCUUUUAUCAUUAUCACAGUCCUGGAGGCCAACUCAGAGUUUCAGAAGAAACAGAAAGUCCUAAUCACGCACGCAGACAAGAAGACUUUUAUCCAGACAGACAAACCUGUGUACAAACCUGGACAGAUUGUCAUGUUGCGAAUUGUAACCUUGGAUCAGAACUUUAUCGCCAGCAAUGAAAGGCACCGCCUGGUGGAACUGAAGGACCCCAAAGGGAACCGAAUUGCACAGUGGCUGAAUGUUACACCUGUGGGAGGCAUAGUGGAUCUGUCCUUCCCUCUGGCUGCAGAAGCACCGGUUGGAGAGUACACCAUCAAAAUGCCUGACCGCGCACAUUCCUUCAGGGUAGAGGAGUAUGUGCUGCCCAAAUUCAGUGUCUCCAUCCAGAUGCCUCAGGUGGUCACCAUCUUGGAGGAGAACUUCCGUCUCCACAUCUGUGGCAUGUACACGUAUGGGAAACCAGUCCAAGGUACUGUGAAGGCUGUGGUGUGCCGUAAACAUACCCGCUAUAAUUGGAGGUCUUCCAAAGCCAAGCGCAGUAUUUGUAAGGAUUACGCUGGCAAGACAAACGAGGAUGGCUGCUUUGCCACUGAGGUGAAUAUUAAGAUGUACCACCAGAAGCGUGGUGACAAUUAUGAUUUCAACCUGGAAGCUGUGGCUUUUCUGAAAGAAAGUGGAACAGGCGUGGAGUUCAACACCACUGAAAACUGCAAGGUCACUUUUGAUAUCACAACUCUCCAAUUCUGGGGGACAAGCUACUACUAUCAGCAAGGAGCUCCCUACUAUGGAAAUCUGGAACUCAAAAGUACCAAUGGGACACACCUGAAGAACAAGGAGGUGAUUCUUACAGUGUCCUAUGGUAGCAGGAAGCAGACCAAGACCUACUUUACGGAUGAUACUGGGAUGGCCUCUUUCACUUUAGACACGUCAGCAUGGGACAACAGCAGUAAAGUUCUGCUACAGGCAAAGACCCAGCCGGAGGACUUAGGCGGUCAAAAUGUGAGAGUGUCUUACGGCACUGCAUCCCUCACACUGAGGGCCUUCUACUCAUCCAGCCGCAGCUCUGUGAGGAUCCAGCCAGUGCAGGCGGCGCUGCCCUGCGGGGACGUGCAGCAGGUCACUGUGCACUAUCGCAUCCUAGCCACGGAGCUGCGGGACGGCGCUGCCACAGCAGACUUCUACCACCUGGUUUUGGCCAGAGGAUCUCUUGUGCAUCACGGCCAAACAACAGUACUUCUUGCUCCGCCAUUAGGUCAGUAUAGUGGGGCUUUCAAUGUCACUCUGCCCAUUGACCUCAUUUCACCCAUGGCUACCCUCUUUGUUUACACUGCUUUCCCUGAGGGACAAGUGGCAGCUGACACCUUCAGUCUGAAAGUCUCCAAGUGCUUCAGGAACCAUGUGAAGCUUGGCUUCUCAGACACGGUGGCUCUCCCAGGAUCGGCUGUCCGUCUCCAUUUGCAGGCUGCACCAGGCUCCUUAUGUAGCAUCCGUGCCGUAGACCAGAGCGUCCUUCUCCUGAGGCCAGAGGCUGAGCUAUCCAUGGAUAGUGUGUACAAUAUGUUCAGUUAUACUCAGGAGCACCCCAGCACCCUCACAGACUCUUACAGCGACUACUGUUCUAUCCACAAGAGCCCAGAAAUCAUCAGUUCCCUUCAAACCACCCUUCCACCAGGAACAAUGUCACCAUUCAUGUACAACAGAUACGCUUACGCAGUGUCCCAACCAGACAUUUAUGAACUGCUGAAGAAUUCAGGUCUAACAUUUUUAACCAACCUUAAAAUCAAGUCUCCAAUUGAGUGCCGCACUCAGACCACUUUCUACUACGACUACAUGUCUUAUGGCGAGCUGGCAGACUUGGACAACUUGGACCGAGAAACAGAUGCUGCUGUUGAACGUGCUGAGUCAGAGCACGUUGAGCUGGGUAGCGAGGCAGGGCCAGUACGUACCUGGUUUCCAGAGACAUUCAUCUGGACUCUGGUUCCCAUCAAUGAUUCAGGGGUUGCUGAGCUAGCUGUCACAGUACCUGACAGUAUUACAGACUGGAGAGCCAUGACCUUCUGCACCUCAGAGAGCCAUGGGUUGGGAAUCUCAGAGACCACCAACCUGCGGAGCUUCAAGCCCUUCUUCGUGGAACCCACCUUGCCCUACUCUGUUUUCCGGGGAGAGUCAUUUCCCCUGAAAGUCAAAGUCUUCAGCUACCUGAAGCAGUGCAUGGUGCUCCAGCUUAGCCUAAUGGACUCCAGGGAUUUUGAAUUUGUGCAUGCAAAUGUCAGGUUCACUAUUUGUCUGUGUCCUGAUUCAGCAAAAACAUUUUUCUGGGAUUUGAAGGCUACAAAAUUAGGGAAGGUGAAUUUCACUGUCACUGCUGAGGUGAUGGAGCAGGAAGAUGUUUGCACUGAGAAUACAGCUGUUGUGCCAGAGUCUGGAGGGAAGGACACAGUGGUUAAACACCUGCUGGUGAAGGCAGAGGGGCUGCUGGAGGAAAAGACCUACACCUCACUCCUGUGCCCUAAAGGAACUUCAGCUUCAGAGACAAUCACUUUCACUAUGCCAGAGAACAUGGUCCUUGGGUCGGAGAGAGCCCACAUCUCAUUCUUAGGUGACAUUUUGGGGACAGCACUGGACAACAUAGAUGAGCUCCUCCAGAUGUCCAGUGGCUGUGGUGAGCAGAACAUGGUUCAUUUUGCCCCCAAUGUCUUUAUCACACGAUAUCUUGAAGAAACAGGACAACUGACUCCAGAAAUCAAACAGAAGGCAAUUGGCUAUUUGGAAAGCGGAUAUCAGCGGCAACUCCUGUACAAGCACGCAGAUGGCUCAUACAGUGCCUUUGGAGAAGGAAGUGAGCCAGGGAACACAUGGCUUACUGCCCUUGUCCUCAAGACCUUCAGCCAAGCCCGGGACUUCAUCCACAUAGAUGAGCAGAAUAUAAAGGAUGCUGCCAAUGCCCUGAUUAAAAGUCAGACUCCAUCUGGCUGCUUCAAGAGUGUGGGAAAGCUCUUCAACAAUGGUCUGAUGGGUGCAGUGGAGGAAGGACUGGGGCUGAGCUCUGCGAUCAUCACAGCUCUCAUACACUCCGGGAUGCCACGCUCCGACCCAGUUGUGUGGAAAGCUCUGAAAUGUAUAAAGGACCUGGUCAAUGCUGAUACUGGCAGUUCCAACCUCUACAGCCUGGCACUAGCCGCAAAUGCCUUUGCAGUAGCAGGUGAUAAGGACCUCAGGCAGAAAAUCCUCAAAAGAUUGGAUAAUGCCGCCAUAAUAUCAGAUGACCAAAUAUUCUGGAGCCAACAGUCAAAACAGGAAGAAGACUCCCUAUAUUGGUAUCGGGCUCCAUCUGUUGAUGUGGAAUUGACCUCUAGUAUCCUCAUGGCUCACCUUUCAAAGUCAAGUUUGUCUUCAGAUGAAAUCAGAAAGGCAUCCCAGAUUGUGUCUUGGCUCACCAAGCAGCAAAACCCUUAUGGAGGCUUUGCUUCAACCCAGGACACAGUGGUUGCUCUGGAAGCCCUAGCCCUGUAUGCAACCAAGACUUUCAGCAAGGAUGGCCCUGAUCUUCAGGCUUCUCUCUCCUCUGAGGGUUUCAGCCAAAACAUCAAAGUAGACAACACCAAUCGCCUCCUGCUGCAGAGAGUGGAGCUGCCAGCCAUUCCCCGAGAUUAUACCGUGCAUGUGCAGGGCCAUGGGUGCCUCUUCCUGCAGGCCACCCUGCGGUACCACAUCCCUCCGCUGAGGACCGACGUCACCUUUGCCAUGUCUGUGCAGACAGAGUGCACCGCACCCAACGCCACCCAGUUCCCUGUCACCGUUCAUGCUCGGUAGGAGACACUCAGUUGUCCCUUGCCUCCUCUGUGCUAAGAGGCUUCUGGCACCACACCAGUCUCUUGCUGGCCAGGAUUCCCCUUCACUCAUGAGGUCCAAGUGCUAAGAUGUCCCCAUUCAUUUAACUGUGGUAUCUUCAGUUGGGUGAAAGGUACCAGGCCCCAGAGGGAUGGCUCAGGCUAUAGUCCUAUCUCAUUAUCAUGCCAGUCACCACAAGUUCUCCCAAGGUCUAUGGGUCCCACCCCCUUCUAGGAUUAGGUCUCAAAACGCUAGUGAUGUGAAGGUCACGUGGGACUGACUGCUGACACUUAUUCCUAAGUCUUCCCUCCUCUGCUCCUGGUUGACUGUCACUCCACUCUCCUCUGCUGUACCCCUGCCUGAUUUGGGACAGAACUGCCAAGGGAGCAGGCGGAGGAUGUGAUAUUCCCUGCCAUGCCUAGAGAAGGAAUAGGUAUGCUUACAGGAGAAACACUGGAAGGAAAGGCAGAUUCCUCCACCUGAGUACCAAAGCUGGGCUGGAGUAUCUGGAGAUCAUGGGUCAGAAAGUAACAUUAGUGCUGUCCCCUGGGUUCCUGCUGCAGCUACACAGGGAACCGUGUGUCCACCAACAUGGUCCUGAUCCAAGUGGAGCUGCUGUCUGGAUACAGCCCCGUGGCAGGUUCACUG